UACGUAGGGGGCUAGCGUUGUCCGGAAUCAUUGGGCGUAAAGCGCGUGUAGGCGGUUCGGUAAGUCCGCUGUGAAAGUCGGGGGCUCAACCCUCGAAAGCCGGUGGAUACUGUCGGACUAGAGUACGGAAGAGGCGAGUGGAAUUCCUGGUGUAGCGGUGAAAUGCGCAGAUAUCAGGAGGAACACCAAUUGCGAAGGCAGCUCGCUGGGACGUUACUGACGCUGAGGCGCGAAGGCGUGGGGAGCGAACGGG
rnacentral:rRNA from 1 species